GAAUAUUGUAAUAAUCAAAUGUUUGUGUCUGGAAAAGAUGCACCUGCUGUCAGGGUUUACAGAACAUUUAAAUCAAAUCAGAAAGAUAUCGUUACAACAUCAGCCAUCAACAGUGAAAUAUUUGCAUGGUUUUAUGAAAGUUAAGAAGUGAACAUGAGUGGCAGGUCUAGUUUCACCCCAUGUUUCAUAAGCCAAAACAAGAUCAGGAAUUUGUCCACCAAGGUGAAAUGAAAAAUUGGUGUUUGAGCGGAAAACUU